rnacentral:misc_RNA from 1 species
UACGGAGGUGGCAAGCGUUACUCGGAAUCAUUGGGUGUAAAGGGCAAGUAGGCGGUCUAGUAAGCGAGGGGUGAAAUCUUCCGACUCAAUCGGGAAACUGCCUUUCGAACUAUUAGACUUGAGGCAGGAAGGGGGAAACGGAAUUCGUGGUGUAAGGGUGAAAUCUGUAGAUAUCACGAAGAACACCGGCGGCGAAGGCGGUUUCCUGGUCCUGUCCUGACGCUGAAUUGCGAAAGCUAGGGGAGCAAACAGA